rnacentral:lncRNA from 1 species
GUUGAUCCGUCUGCGCAUGCUCAAGGGGGGACGGUUAAAUUCAAAACCAACAACAACUUUGAUGGCUACUAGCUAACAUAUUACAAUUGUUCGAGAACAAGUUGCUACGUGGCAGAAAACAUAAGUAUUCAUAUGGAUUCCAUUGAUGAUGGGGCUCAACCAAUCACAGACAUAGAAACCUUGUUGAAUGCUCCCCUCCAUGUUUCACACCAAAGAAAUAAGAGUUCGAAUCCUGUUUUCCAAUCUCAAGACAUUUACCAAGUUUGAGAUGACCGUAGUUGUUACCUCCACCUACCCCAUCUGUCUCCUUCAUGUGCAGAACUUCCAAAAGCACAUUGGAAACACAACGAAAGACCAGGUGGAGGACAUUGUAUCAUCAGUAACACCAGCCAAGAACUACUUGAUCAAGAUUGUCAAGAGGAUCCAUAAAUGUCUGCUGUGA